rnacentral:rRNA from 1 species
CCUACGGGAGGCAGCAGUGAGGAAUAUUGGUCAAUGGGCGAGAGCCUGAACCAGCCAAGUCGCGUGAGGGAAGACGGUCCUAUGGAUUGUAAACCUCUUUUGUCGGGGAGCAAAAAGGCCUCGUGAGGCCACAAGUGAGAGUACCCGAAGGAAAAGCAUCGGCUAACUACGUGCCAGCAGCCGCGGUAAUACGGAGGAUGCGAGCGUUAUCCGGAUUUAUGGGGUGUAAAGGGUGCGUAGGGGGACUGGAAAGUCAGCGGUAAAGUCGAGAGGCCCAACCUCUUUCCGCCGUUGAAACUGUCGGUCUUGAGUGGGCGAGAAGUAUGCGGAAUGCGUGGUGUAGCGGUGAAAUGCAUAGAUAUCACGCAGAACUCCGAUUGCGAAGGCAGCAUACCGGCGCCCGACUGACGCUGAGGCACGAAAGCGUGGGUAUCGAACAGGAUUAGAUACCCUUGUAGUC